UACAGAGGUCUCAAGCGUUGUUCGGAUUCAUUGGGCGUAAAGGGUGUGUAGGUGGAUGCCUAAGUACCUUGUGAAAUCCCACGGCUUAACCGUGGAACUGCUCGGUAUACUGGGUGUCUUGAGCCACUUAGGGGCUACCGGAACAAAUGGUGGAGCGGUGAAAUGCGUAGAUAUCAUUUGGAACGCCAAUGGUGAAAACAGGUAGCUGGGAGUGUGCUGACACUGAGACACGAAAGCCAGGGGAGCGAACGGG
rnacentral:rRNA from 1 species